AACGCACAUUGCGCCCCCUGGCAUUCCGGGGGGCAUGCCUGUCCGAGCGUCAUUUCUGCCCUCAAGCACGGCUUGUGUGUUGGGUGUGGUCCCCCCGGGGACCUGCCCGAAAGGCAGCGGCGACGUCCGUCUGGUCCUCGAGCGUAUGGGGCUCUGUCACUCGCUCGGGAAGGACCUGCGGGGGUUGGUCACCACCAUGUUUUACCACGGUUGACCUCGGAUCAGGUAGGAGUUACCCGCUGAACUUAA
rnacentral:misc_RNA from 1 species